rnacentral:snoRNA from 1 species
AUUCAGUAAUUGGUCAAAAUCUAGUGUAACUCUCUGGCCUUCUCUCUUCCAUCAGGCUCCGUAAUGUUGUGACAGGCAAAAGGGCAGCUGACACUCGCCAAUGUCCCUGUCUGGUAUUCCCUGGGGAGCGCAGGGAAAAUGCCGUGGUUGGCAUCCAACAGUUUAGUUACAAAGGCAUUUGGGUAGGUGGGAGUGCUGGAAUCUAGGGCUAUGAUCUGAUGUUUUCAAGUUGAGAAC